rnacentral:rRNA from 1 species
UACGUAGGGGCAAGCGUUGUCCGGAUUUAUUGGGCGUAAAGAGCGUGUAGGCGGCCAGGUAGGUCAGCUGUGAAAACUCGAGGCUCAACCUCGAGACGCCGGUUGAAACCAUCUGGCUAGAGUCCGGAAGAGGAGAGUGGAAUUCCUGGUGUAGCGGUGAAAUGCGCAGAUAUCAGGAAGAACACCCGUGGCUAAGGCGGCUCUCUAGUACGGUACUGACGCUGAGACGCGAAAGCGUGGGGAGCGAAACAGG